AUUUUGCGCAAUGGGCGAAAGCCUGACGCAGCAACGCCGCGUGUGUGAUGAAGGUCUUUGGAUUGUAAAGCACUUUCGACCGGGACGAAAACCCGAAGGCUAACAUCCUUCGGCUUGACGGUACCGGGAGAAGAAGCACCGGCUAACUCUGUGCCAGCAGCCGCGGUAAUACAGAGGGUGCAAGCGUUGUUCGGAAUUAUUGGGCGUAAAGCGCGUGUAGGCGGCUUUGCAAGUCGGGUGUGAAAGCCCUCAGCUCAACUGAGGAAGUGCGCCCGAAACUGCAGAGCUUGAGUGCCGGAGAGGGUGGCGGAAUUCCCCAAGUAGAGGUGAAAUUCGUAGAUAUGGGGAGGAACACCGGUGGCGAAGGCGGCCACCUGGACGGUAACUGACGCUGAGACGCGAAAGCGUGGGUAGCAAACAGGAUUAGAUACCCUGGUAGUCCACGCCGUAAACGAUGAGAACUAGGUGUCGUGGGAGUUGACCCCCGCGGUGCCGUAGCUAACGCAUUAAGUUCUCCGCCUGGGAAGUACGGUCGCAAGACUAAAACUCAAAGGAAUUGACGGGGGCCCGCACAAGCGGUGGAGCAUGUGGUUUAAUUCG
rnacentral:rRNA from 1 species